rnacentral:snRNA from 1 species
GGCUCUACAGGAGAUCUGUCUGUGGUGUCUGUCCCCCCAUCGAUGGCUUGGGUGUAUUCAGGUGAUCUGACAGCCCAGUCAGGGGCCCCCUUCCUCCCUGUCUGUCCCCAGAGAAUCCUUCUGGAAGCUGUCUUCUCCAUCCAAGGGGGUGACCUUCCAGGGAAGGGCAGGCUCUUAAGUGCUAG